GCCGAAGUGGCGAAAUUGGCAGACGCACUGGAUUCAAAAUCCAGCGCCGCUUUAAACGGCGUGUCGGUUCGAGUCCGACCUUCGGCA
rnacentral:tRNA from 1 species